UACGGGGGGGCAAGCGUUGUUCGGAGUUACUGGGCGUAAAGGGCUCGUAGACGGCCAACUAAGUCAGACGUGAAAUCCCUCGGCUUAACCGGGGAACUGCGUCUGAUACUGGAUGGCUUGAGUUUGGGAGAGGGAUGCGGAAUUCCAGGUGUAGCGGUGAAAUGCGCAGAUAUCAGGAAGAACACCAAUGGCGGAAAGCAGCUCUCUGGGACGGUACUGACGCUGAGACGGCGAA
rnacentral:rRNA from 1 species